UACGAAGGGUGCAAGCGUUACUCGGAGUUACUGGGCGUAAAGCGUGCGUAGGUGGUUGUUUAAGUCUGUUGUGAAAGCCCUGGGCUCAACCUGGGAACUGCAGUGGAAACUGGACAACUAGAGUGUGGUAGAGGGUAGCGGAAUUCCCGGUGUAGCAGUGAAAUGCGUAGAGAUCGGGAGGAACAUCCAUGGCGAAGGCAGCUACCUGGACCAACACUGACACUGAGGCACGAAAGCGUGGGGAGCAAACAGG
rnacentral:rRNA from 1 species